GAAAUAGCCAGUGCCCCUGGGUUUAUAAAAUAUACCUACCGAUUUAUACUAAAUACCGAUUUAAAAAUCGAAACCAUCAAAAACUAAAUUUUCAAAACUGCUCACAAUUUUUACUACAACAUUAAACAUCAUCAAAUAUGACUUCAUUUCAAAACACGAACCACGACCAUACGAAAAGGACUCGUACUUAUCUAACACUUGGUUUAUGUAACAAUUAGCAUCAUCUUAAGGUGGUAUUUUGUCGUCUUUCAUACAAAGAAAAAUACAAAUGCUGUUAACGAAAACCCGGAAUUGUUAUUAUACCACGAAUCUCGCUACCUGAAACGGAGUCGAAUAUUGCCAGAUAAUUCAAAAUAGCAUAUGGUCUUAUACGAAUGCUCAUAUUCCCAAUUGUAUCAUCAGUUACUGGAAUAAUCUUACUUCUGCCUCGAAUCAUUCACAGUCGCUAUUCUGCAUGUUAGAUUUCUGCACACAAUUUUCGGGCCUAAUGCAUGGAGUGUUUCAAAGACGGGCGUUUCAUUUAUUACUGAUACUCCUUGUCAAAUUUAUUAUAUUUUUAACAUUUGUUCAUUUGCUUUUUUUGCUUUCUUUUUCUUAUUACCUUUUCCCUUCCAUUUAGGAGCAUUUUUGUAAUCACUAAUUACCUAUACUCAUAACCCACUUUAGCCCAUCAGCGGUUGAGCUGUAGACUCGCAGAACACUGGACCUAGGUUCGAUUCUACGCCAACGGGCUGGCUGCAUGGGCAUUUUCGUGGUUUUCUUCAUGCGUAAGGCCUAGGAAAGAGGAAAAAUCAACUGUACCUUCACCGGUAUUCCAGCCUCAGAUGCUUCCACCAGUGGCCGAGGAUUCAAGACCGCUGAAUACUGGUAGUUCGAUCCUAGAAGGAUGAGUUGGCUACAUGGCUGGUUUUUUUGAUUUUCAUCACGUUUAACGUAAAUGAAACCUAGUUGCCCCUAGACAAUCUUUUUCGAAGGCAUCUAUGCUCUUAGUUGGAAGUGAAUGAGUGUUUGGGAAAAGAACUGGAUUCAUCAAUUAGCGUCUACAAUCUGAGAUGAAAACAUUUUCUGGCAAUUUAUUUCCAAGAAUGCAGAAGUUUCUAAUUAUUUUCACGCAAAUAUGUUUUAUUCUGUAUGUGUAGAAGUAAAGUUUAAUAAAUAAAAGAAUGAGAGUUAUCAUUAAAUAUUCUCAAGUCUGACUCCUCUUGAAAGUUUUCCACACAAACGUGAAAAGUUUCAGUAACAUUUACUUAUUUUUAGUUUAAGUAAGUUAUUCACUGGUUAAUUCUACAGAAUGCAAUUAUUUGAAAUAAAUGUCACUUCGAAAAUUUCGGAUUGAAGU